rnacentral:rRNA from 1 species
UACGGAGGGGGCUAGCGUUGCUCGGAAUCACUGGGCGUAAAGCGCACGUAGGCGGAUUGCUAAGUCAGGGGUGAAAUCCUGGAGCUCAACUCCAGAACUGCCUUUGAUACUGGCGGUCUCGAGUCCGGGAGAGGUGAGUGGAACUGCGAGUGUAGAGGUGAAAUUCGUAGAUAUUCGCAAGAACACCAGUGGCGAAGGCGGCUCACUGGCCCGGUACUGACGCUGAGGUGCGAAAGCGUGGGGAGCAAACGGG